UCUUCUACACUGAGAAGCGCUGCUAAUAUAUACUAAUUGCAUUGAUUAUGCCAGUAUUAAAUAUCACCAUCUGUUUUUAUCUGAGGUCAAUGCCACUAAAGGAUUUUAACCUCUUCAAGAUAUUUCUGUAAUUUCAGAGGUGAUGGUAUGGAUUUCAGGUCCUAUUUUGCUUCAAGGAACACCUACCUGAGUGGUGGUCAAACGUGGUUGGGCCUUCUUAACUCUUCUUUUUUGUUGUAAAUGUUGAAGAAUUAAGGUAAAGUGGAAUAGGCAGCUUGUGUAUGUAACUGUCCAAAUUGGGCAGGUGACUUAGUGAUGAAGGAAAUAGCAAAACCUGAGGUGCGCAGGGGCAUCUUUCCUGUCCAGGUUGUGCUGAGGCCUCCCAUGUCUCUGAGGGCUUUAGGGGGAAAAGGAUUCAUAGUUGGUGAUGACAGACUUAGAAAUCAUCUAACUGAAGUGAUGUUUUGAGUAUCAGUGGUCAAGCUGUGGCAGGGGGGUACAUAGGGCUGCUCUGUGAGGGGGGGCUGGGACUGCCCCAUGCUACACACAGCUGGUUCUAGACGGCUCCAGCAGCCCUACUUCAAAGUAUGGGGCAAAGCAUAUUAAAGGGAAGAAAAUGCCUGUUGGAAGAUGAUGCAACAGAAGGAAAGCCAACGUCACAGCAGGAGGAGGUGCCUCAGAGCCGAUAUCCCUGAAGCCCAUAGAGGCCACGUGCCAGAGCAGGGAGAAGAGCAAGGAGGAAGGAGCAGCAGAGAGGAGCCAUCCUGGGCUGACCCUGCUCCACUUGGAGUGGGAGAGGAGCCCUGAAACAAAGCUGAGCCUGAGGAAGAGAAAUGACAAAAAGGGAGGAUUCCUCACCAAAUGCGCAGUGAGACUGUGGAACAAGAUUAUAGUGAGAUUACAUGAAAGCUACAAGUUUAAAGAGUUCAAAAGAAAAAACGAAGAGUUCAAAGCAGAGACAUCCACUGAGAGGUUUUAAAUAUAUAGAAACUUUCUCAACUUGAGGAAGAACCUAUGCCAAAAAAGACUGGAAGCUGUGGACUUUUAUAGAGCAUAUUAUACAUGUUCUUAAUCUUCUUUUGUGGAAAUGAAAAAUCUCCCACUGAUACCUGUGCAUCACAGCUGAGCUUUUCUAAGACAUGGAAUAUGGCUUAGUCUCUGUGUGCAGCAGAAGGCAUAAGGAGAAGUCAGAAUUUUUUUACAUUAUUACCAUGAAGAUAAUUGGAUAGGCUUUCUAUAUAUCUGUCAGGAAUCUGCUUCCUACCUGAAGAUGAUGGUACUGAAGCACCAGGAACAGCACCAGCAACAUCUUAGGAGAUGUAAACCAAAGGACCCCAGUGAGAAACUUGGGGUCCCUAGAACAGAAGCUGUUUUAAGGAAGAAAAAAGAUAGGAUUCAACUCAUGUGCUGUUAAAAGAUGUUGCAUCUCACCUAAUCUCCCUGGAUGAGGCUCACAAGAUAGCUACAGAGAUAAGUUUAUUUUACCACUCUCUACAACUUCCCAUCUCUUUCCAGUGCCUAUGGAUUGCCUCCACUACAUUAAAUAUCCUACUAAAACAAGGUGGGGGCAAUUUCCAUGCUUGUUACCCUGAAAUAUUAAACACAUGUUCGGUCUAACAAGUCGCACUUUGAGCAUGAAUGCCUUGGAGUUUACCCAGUUCAUCCUCCAGCCUUGUCUAUCUCCUCUGCCUUUCCUGCAUAACCAUGAGUACUACCUGUGCUCAGUGUGUGUUUCUGCAAAAUGGAACAAGGAUGCUUGAAGUGCUUGGAAGUCUGAAGUAAAGAGCUGACUUUUAAGAUAUACUAUUAACAUGUCCUGAAAAGUCUGUUUAAAUCCAAGGAAUUUUCAGAUGAAAAUGAGAGAAGAAAAUAACUGAAUUGACCAGCAGAAAAGAAAGAUUCAUACAGUGAAGAUGAAAAUUUCAUCUGCAAUAUGAAAAGCUAGUUCAAAUUUCGAAGUACAUUGCAAAGAUAUUGGCUUAGCUUCUCAUUCCAGACAAUGUCAGUAACAAUUUUAUUAGGCAGAGGCCUUUUUAUGCUAUCUUGAUCCCUGAUAAUUAGUAGUAGGGAUAAAUUUAUAGUGCUUAGAGUUGGCCACUCAUUUCACAGAAACCAUAGCACUUCAUCUUCUGCACAGCAUAAGGCGGCUUCAAGACUGAUCUCACUUGCUCUUUCUUCCCUCUCCCAUUAUACAGCAUGGCAGCCCCUGGGAUUUCAUGCAGAACCAGCUCAUAAUUGAUCCUUCCAAACAUAUCCCCAUAAAUAAGUACUUCAGAAGCAUCUUCUGCAGUUGCUGCUUAAACAAGGCAGUCCCUUGUCUCACAGUAACUCACCACAUCAUACAAAAGCAGACCUAGGCUUUGCCUCAUCUAGGAUGACUG